rnacentral:rRNA from 1 species
UACGAAGGGGGCUAGCGUUGUUCGGAGUUACUGGGCGUAAAGGGCGCGUAGGCGGUGCCUAAAGUCAGGCGUGAAAGCCCCGGGCUCAACCUGGGAACCGCGCUUGAGACUGGAGUACUAGAGUUCGGGAGAGGAUGGUGGAAUUCCCAGUGUAGAGGUGAAAUUCGUAGAUAUUGGGAAGAACACCGAUGGCGAAGGCAGCCAUCUGGACCGACACUGACGCUGAGGCGCGAAAGCGUGGGGAGCGAACAGG